rnacentral:rRNA from 1 species
GAUGAACGCUAGCGGCAGGCCUAACACAUGCAAGUCGAGGGGCAGCACAGAAACAGCAAUGUUUUGGUGGCGACCGGCGGACGGGUGCGUAACGCGUAUGCAACCUACCUUACACAGGGGGAUAACGGAUGGAAACGUCCACUAACACCCCAUAACAUCGGAAUCGGCAUCGGAUUCGGUUGAAAUCUCCGGAGGUGGAGGAUGGGCAUGCGUUGUAUUAGAUAGUUGGUGAGGUAACGGCUCACCAAGUCGACGAUACAUAGGGGGACUGAGAGGUUAGCCCCCCACACUGGUACUGAGACACGGACCAGACUCCUACGGGAGGCAGCAGUGAGGAAUAUUGGUCAAUGGGGGCAACCCUGAACCAGCCAUGCCGCGUGCAGGAAGACGGCUCUAUGAGUUGUAAACUGCUUUUACACGGGGAUAAAUCGGGGUACGCGUACCCCGUUGAAGGUACUGUGGGAAUAAGGAUCGGCUAACUCCGUGCCAGCAGCCGCGGUAA